rnacentral:rRNA from 1 species
UCAAGAAACUUCCACAAUGGGCGAAAGCCUGACCCAGCAACGCCGCGUGAAGGAUGAAGUAUUUCGGUAUGUAAACUUCGUAAGAAUAGGAAGAAUAAAUGACGGUACUAUUUGUAAGGUCCGGCUAACUACGUGCCAGCAGCCGCGGUAAUACGUAGGGACCAAGCGUUGUUCGGAUUUACUGGGCGUAAAGGGCGCGUAGGCGGUGUGUCAAGUCAGUUGUGAAAUCUCCGAGCUUAACUCGGAACGGUCAACUGAUACUGUCACACUAGAGUACAGAAGGGGCAAUCGGAAUUCUUGGUGUAGCGGUGAAAUGCGUAGAUAUCAAGAGGAACACCUGAGGUGAAGACGGGUUGCUGGGCUGACACUGACGCUGAGGCGCGAAAGCCAGGGGAGCAAACGGGAUUAGAUACCCCUGUAGUCCCUGAGCGGGCUGGCAAGGCGCAU